AGAUAUGAGGGGAUUUGGCUGUGACAUCUGUCAUUCCAUUGAUCUCCAGGGUUGAUUUGGCUGAUUUGGCCGGCUAGGCAGCUGUCCCCUUCCUCACUACUGCGUAUGUUUCUACAGUAUGCUCUGUCGAAAAGGACAACGAUUCCCGAUGGAGGAGGAUCAUUCUUUAGUCAUUUUUUAGGGCAUACCAGUAGCCAUGCUCUCCUUUCCUUUUAGAAUCCCAAACAAGCUCUGUAAGGUCCAUUUGUAGGAGAACUUAGGGUAGUCAAGUUUCCAAACUCCAGGCACCUCCAAAUGAGGUGCUACCUGUGGCUGUCUGCCUUUUU
rnacentral:snRNA from 1 species